CAGGCCUAACACAUGCAAGUCGAACGAAGGCUUCGGCCUUAGUGGCGCACGGGUGCGUAACGCGUGGGAAUCUGCCCCUUGGUUCGGAAUAACAGUUGGAAACGACUGCUAAUACCGGAUGACGACGUAAGUCCAAAGAUUUAUCGCCCAGGGAUGAGCCCGCGUAGGAUUAGCUAGUUGGUGGGGUAAAGGCCUACCAAGGCGACGAUCCUUAGCUGGUCUGAGAGGAUGAUCAGCCACACUGGGACUGAGACACGGCCCAGACUCCUACGGGAGGCAGCAGUGGGGAAUAUUGGACAAUGGGCGAAAGCCUGAUCCAGCAAUGCCGCGUGAGUGAUGAAGGCCUUAGGGUUGUAAAGCUCUUUUACCCGGGAUGAUAAUGACAGUACCGGGAGAAUAAGCUCCGGCUAACUCCGUGCCAGCAGCCGCGGUAAU
rnacentral:rRNA from 1 species